GGUUGAGUGGUGUAGUGGUAACACGCUGAGGUAUAAUACUUGUAUUACUAGAAGGGCGGUUCCUUGGAUCUAUCUCGGGGGCUUAUCUUGUAGGAAUAUUUGUACGAUCUCAGAACCGGAGGUUCAAACCCUCCCUCGACCA
rnacentral:tRNA from 1 species